UUAGCUAACUGGCACGGGAGAUGCCGUGAGCACGAAGCUGGCUUUCCCAGGGCCUGAGGUUUAUCCAUGACAGUUUGGUUGUGUUGACCCCAGUGAGUCCCCAGUUGUGGGAGACUCGGCUGCUCGCUUUGUGGUAGAGGGGACUGCGUGUGCUCUUCGCCCUG
rnacentral:snRNA from 1 species